GAUUUGGUAGAUUAUAAUUUAUGCCUGACUUCUGCAGAUUGCACCCUCAUUCGGACACCAGCCUAUGAUUUACAGUCCACCAGCUACACCAAUGCAAACACCUCAGGCAUAUGUCCAACCAAAUGGACCUCUGUAUGGGCAACAGAUGAUUCUUGGCCACCCUAGGCAGGUUCUGUACAUGCCAGGUUAUCCCCCUGAAAUGCCAUACAAAGGGAGAGAAUUCUAACUCAUGCUGGUCAGCCAAUGUGUGCUCUACUAAUUGUGCUUGUAAAUAAGAUGCUUCUGAAUGAACUGACAAUUUUUUGAGCGGGGAAGCUCGGUAUUCAGUUAACAAUAAUUCUAGAGCACUAUUGGGAGUCAUGGGAGUUUCACUCAUUUUAGGAUAUUCACUAUCCAUUUGUAUUUGUAAAAUUGAUUAGUUUUAUGUGUGUCUUAUACUCUUUAUCA